AAAAAUAAUUGAUAAUAGCGGCCUAGAAGGCAACAUAUAGGGAAUAAAUAGUUAAUUUAAUUAGCACGACUCUGACGCAUACACUCAAAAGAGUUAUAGUACUAGAGAAACUUGUCAUCAAUUGAAAAUCUACUGUUACAUGAUAAAUGACAUCUUUUUCUCAUCAUAAAGAUCUUGAGUUAAACCGCUAUCUAGCAAUGAAAUUGAACAAAAGAUUCAUUUUAAGAAGCUAUUCCA
rnacentral:misc_RNA from 1 species